CCUGAUCCAGCCAUACCGCGUGGGUGAAGAAGGCCUUCGGGUUGUAAAGCCCUUUUAGUUGGGAAAGAAAAGCAGCCGGUUAAUACCCGGUUGUUCUGACGGUACCCAAAGAAUAAGCACCGGCUAACUUCGUGCCAGCAGCCGCGGUAAUACGAAGGGUGCAAGCGUUACUCGGAAUUACUGGGCGUAAAGCGUGCGUAGGUGGUUGUUUAAGUCUGUCGUGAAAGCCCUGGGCUCAACCUGGGAAUUGCGAUGGAAACUGGGCGACUAGAGUGUGGCAGAGGGUAGUGGAAUUCCUGGUGUAGCAGUGAAAUGCGUAGAGAUCAGGAGGAACAUCCGUGGCGAAGGCGACUGCCUGGGCCAACACUGACACUGAGGCACGAAAGCGUGGGGAGCAAACAGGAUUAGAUACCCUGGUAGUCCACGCCCUAAACGAUGCGAACUGGAUGUUGGGUGCACUUAGGCACGCAGUAUCGAAGCUAACGCGUUAAGUUCGCCGCCUGGGGAGUACGGUCGCAAGACUGAAACUCAAAGGAAUUGACGGGGG
rnacentral:rRNA from 1 species